UACGGGGGGGGGCAAGCGUUGUUCGGAAUUACUGGGCGUAAAGGGCUCGUAGGCGGCCAACUAAGUCAGACGUGAAAUCCCUCGGCUUAACCGGGGAACUGCGUCUGAUACUGGUUGGCUUGAGUGUGGGAGAGGGAUGCGGAAUUCCAGGUGUAGCGGUGAAAUGCGUAGAUAUCUGGAAGAACACCAAAGGCGAAGGCAGUGUCCUGGGUGGUCGCUGACGCUGAGAGGCGAAAGCCAGGGGAGCGAACGGG
rnacentral:rRNA from 1 species